rnacentral:miRNA from 1 species
UAGGGAUGAUGGGAGUUGUAGUCCCAAAACAGCUGGAGACCCUACAUUAAGGCUAGCUUGGGUCUCCAGCUGUUUUGGGACUACAACUCCCAUCAUCUCUGA